AAUGACUUGGUAACUUGUGUAAGCAAGUAGUGCCCCAAGAUGUUGGGCACACAAAACUUACAAAGAACAGCCAUCAGCUGCAUAGCAUAAUCAUAAGGCCCAAAUUCAUAAUUUAUUAAUUUAAAAUACCACUUACACUUCUAAUUAAAUCAACAACACAUGGAAUUAUCAAACCAUAUCAGAAACACCAUGCUUGCGAGUAUAUCAGAUAUACCAGAUCAGUGAACAAUAAAAGCUCCUCGUAGACAACAUAAAAUCCUAAGAAUGUGGCAUCAUAUCACACAUCUACAUGCCAUUUUGCCAAACCUCCCAGUGUGCAUAUUACAAGAUCUCCAGUCAAUGAACUUAUGAUUCUGUCCCUGGCUUUAGCUCAGUCCAAUCCCCUGCUUUACACUGUUCACUUUGAAACUGCAAGCGAGCCUGAACUGCCUAGAAAGCUCUGCCCUAGAUAGAUCUGAUGUUUGUGAAGUGACCAGACAUUUGCAUCAGCUCUCCACCUUUGUUCAGGGGUAAAGUCUAUUUAAAUCUUGUGGACACUCUUAACCCUUUCUCGGCCUCUGUGCUGCCUGUGAAGUGUGUUCCAAUCCCAUAGACUUUAGCGAUGAAAUGGGCUGUAAAACCGAAAGUGCCAUGGUCAUGACUGUCAAACAAAUCAGGAGGAUCAGUGAGUAAAGCCAUUGAAACUGCGCAUUUAGAAGGCAGAAGCAUGUGAAUUUCUGUGAGUCCAAAGAUUGCCUGGUCUAGAAAACAAAUUCCAGGCCAGCCAGGACUACAUCAUGAGAUCUUGCUUUAAGGCAUCUUGAGAUCCUGCUUUAAGGAAAUAGAACAUUUCAACCUGAACACAAUGGAAUUUCAUCUCCAGAGAUUCCAAGAUACAGAUGCCACAAAAUCACUAGUAAAAAUGUAAAGUCUAGGAGGCAAGUGGUUUGACUCCAGCAUGUGCCCCUUAUCAUGAUGAGCUGUCUUGCCCUAAGAAGUGGAAUAAAACUUCUAGAACUGUAAACCAAAAUAAGUCUUUUCUUGUGGUCCCCUCGCAUUUCUCAGUUGGGAUCCACAUUCACAAGACAAGAAAGAAGGGCCGACUUUACUCUCUGAUAUCUUUGCUCCUAUACUUCUGAAAGAGAAAGAAAAUGCUGCCAGGUGUUUGGAUUGUUCUUGACAGUGAGAAAUAUCAACUGAAGCAUGUUGAGGAUGUGAAAAUAAACAUGCUGCAGCAUAUCUAUAUCUAUAUCUAUAUAAAAUCA